UUCAAAUUUCGAAAGAUUUUACAUAGGCAGAUUUAUGAUUUUAUGAAUAUUUAGUGACAUGUUGUUAUAUGCUAGGUUGCAUGGAAUCAGAAACGGGUACGCGGAAGCGAAGCGUUUGGAAACGUGGAAGCGAUUUUUAUAGAAAUUAUAGAAAGUGGGUACGUGUUGGAAGCGUAUAUAAAAAUUAAUAUAUAUAUAUAUACAUAUAUAUAUAAUAAACAAUAAACAUUAUAUCAUAUAAAAAAUUAUAAUUAACAUACAAAUCUAAUACAUAAAUUCUAAAUAUCUCUCUAUAUUUAAAAAUCAAAUAGUGUACGUUUACAAUAGAGAAAAGUCAAAUAGUUCAAAGUCAAAAAUUUAAGAUCAUUCUUCAUUCUCAUUUUACUAAUUCCAUCAAAUAAAAUUGUUUUAAAUUUUUUUUUACCAAUAAAAACAUCAUCAAACUCAAAUUUCUCGAAAUUAAUUUAAUUCAAUUAAUCAUUUCAACAUCUCCCUAAUAAAUGAUCCAUGCUGCUAUCAUUUUUCUAACUAUGAUAUUUUAAAAAAUAAAAUACAAAAUUAGUAUGCAAAAUUAGUUUUGGUUUUUCUUUUGUUGUAUAAAAAAACUAUCAAAAAUAAUUUCUUAUUUCUUAUUUAUUUUGUGACAUCAAAUUUUUUAAAUGGAAUCGCAACCUUCCAAAAUAGAAUCGUAAGCUUCCAAGGAGCUUCCAAAAUGAAUUUUUUAGAAGCGUUAUGGAAACGAGAUUCCGAAAGCUUCCGAAAGCUUCCGAUUCCGACUAAGAUUCCGAAGCGGGAAGCGGACGUCCGACGAAGCUUCCGUGCUUCCUAGGUUAUAUGUAAAGAAGCUGGUUACGUUGCUUUUUUCUUGACUUUUAAAGACAACCCAUCAUUAACUCAAAAUGAAUCUUCUUAAAUUUUGUGUUUGUAUUUUCUCAUGUGCUUGCUUUUUCUUUCCACUACAUUAAUUAUUCUCUUAUGUUAUUUGACCAACUUCUUUUUUAAUCAAAAUAUGUCAAAUUUAUUUUUGUUUAUACAUCUUUAAAAUCUGAAAAAUAUAUUUU
rnacentral:lncRNA from 1 species